rnacentral:tRNA from 1 species
GGCCGGUUAGCUCAGUCGGUUGAGCGCGCUCACAAUGCAAAGGUCGCAGGUUCGAUUCCUGUUCAGCCCC